CAAAUUCAUCUUUUUCAGAACACUGAACUAGUCCAUCCAAGACCAGAACAUUUCCAAACCUCUUGCUAAAAAAGAAAAUGACUUUAUGCAGUCAAUAUUCAGUUAUUAUAUGACUACCAUGUGUGCCACAACCUUAUUUUCUGUAAUCUGAAAACAGCCACACUAAUUUGAAGAUAAAACAGAAACAAGAUAUAGAAUUUAGGGGACCUGUUUGGUGAGGCUGUCAAUCAAUGAUACACGAAUAAAUGAGCCAUUUUCAAAAGGGUUGCCCUGCUAGAAACCUGUCAGAAGUAAAAAGCAGUGACUGACUUCCUGAAGGAGAAAUUCUUGUAAGAAUUUACAAGACUGAAAAAUGUUUACAAAGAUAAAGCUUUAAACUAGAGCAGUAUGUGAAGGUGGACAUACUGCCUAAAUCACAAUUCAACUCACCAAAAAGAUUUCCAUUUUCAGAAGGAAGCACCAUUUGGUUUUUACAAUAAUAAUAAUAAUAAUAAUAAUAUAUUUCUU